rnacentral:rRNA from 1 species
GCCGGCAGCUAGCUCUCUGCAACUCUCACAUGGUUGCCCACUGAAGCCAAGCAGGGCUGCGUCUGGUCAGUACCUGGAUGGGAGACCACAUGGGAAAGCUAGGUUGCUGCCGGAA